rnacentral:lncRNA from 1 species
GAAGACGAAACUGCCAAAGAUGGGGAUGACCAGUCGAAACAAACAAAGGCUGGGCAAACUUUAGGGCGAAACACUCCGCCCGCUCCUGACCAGACCCAAGGAAGUGGCAAAUCAACUGGUUCAACUGGUUUCUCUCGCGAAGAGCUUGAGAGUCUUAAAAUGCAGAAACCCUUAGAAUAUCUGAAGGCUAUGCUUAGCGCUUGUUUU